GACGAACGCUGGCGGCGUGCCUAAUACAUGCAAGUUGAGCGCUGAAGGUUGGUACUUGUACCAACUGGAUGAGCAGCGAACGGGUGAGUAACGCGUGGGGAAUCUGCCUUUGAGCGGGGGACAACAUUUGGAAACGAAUGCUAAUACCGCAUAAAAACUUUAAACACAAGUUUUAAGUUUGAAAGAUGCAAUUGCAUCACUUAAAGAUGAUCCCGCGUUGUAUUAGCUAGUUGGUGAGGUAAAGGCUCACCAAGGCGGUGAUACAUAGCCGAGCUGAGAGGGUGAUCGGCCACAUUGGGACUGAGACACGGCCCAAACUCCUACGGGAGGCAGCAGUAGGGAAUCUUCGGCCAUGGACGGAAGUCUGACCGAGCAACGCCGCGUGAGUGAAGGAGGGUUUCGGGUCGUAAAACUCUGUUGGUAGGGAAGAACGUUGGUGAGAGUGAAAAGCUCAUCAAGUGACGGUAACUACCCAGAAAGGGACGGCUAACUACGUG
rnacentral:rRNA from 1 species